rnacentral:rRNA from 1 species
CCUACGGGGGGCAGCAGUGGGGAAUAUUGCACAAUGGGCGCAAGCCUGAUGCAGCCAUGCCGCGUGUGUGAAGAAGGCCUUCGGGUUGUAAAGCACUUUCAGCGGGGAGGAAGGCGGUGAGGUUAAUAACCUCAUCGAUUGACGUUACCCGCAGAAGAAGCACCGGCUAACCCCGUGCCAGCAGCCGCGGUAAUACGGAGGGUGCAAGCGUUAAUCGGAAUUACUGGGCGUAAAGCGCACGCAGGCGGUCUGUCAAGUUGGAUGUGAAAUCCCCGGGCUCAACCUGGGAACUGCAUUCGAAACUGGCAGGCUAGAGUCUUGUAGAGGGGGGUAGAAUUCCAGGUGUAGCGGUGAAAUGCGUAGAGAUCUGGAGGAAUACCGGUGGCGAAGGCGGCCCCCUGGACAAAGACUGACGCUCAGGUGCGAAAGCGUGGGGAGCAAACAGGAUUAGAUACCCGUGUAGUC